rnacentral:rRNA from 1 species
UACGAAGGGGGCUAGCGUUGCUCGGAAUCACUGGGCGUAAAGGGCGCGUAGGCGGCGUUUUAAGUCGGGGGGGAAAGCCUGUGGCUCAACCACAGAAUUGCCUUCGAUACUGGGACGCUUGAGUGUGGUAGAGGUUGGUGGAACUGCGAGUGUAGAGGUGAAAUUCGUAGAUAUUCGCAAGAACACCGGUGGCGAAGGCGGCCAACUGGACCAUCACUGACGCUGAGGCGCGAAAGCGUGGGGAGCAAACAGG